AGCGAACGCUGGCGGUAGGCUUAACACAUGCAAGUCGAACGGCAGCACAGUAAGAGCUUGCUCUUACGGGUUGCGAGUGGCGGACGGGUGAGGAACACAUCCGAACCUCCUUUUUCGUGGGGGAUAACGUAGGGAAACUUACGCUAAUACCGCAUACGACCUACGGCUGAAAGCAGGGGAUCUUCGGACCUUGCGCGAUUGAAUGAGCAGAUGUCGGAUUAGCUAGUGGGCGGGGUAAAGGCCCACCAAGGCGACGAUCCGUAGCUGGUAUGAGAGGAUGAUCAGCCAAACGGGAACGGGGACACGGCCCAGACUCCUAGGGAAGGCGGCAGGGGGGAAUAUUGGAGAAGGAGGGCAAGCCUGAUCCAAACAUACCGGGUGGGGAUGGAAGGCCUUCGGGUGGAAAAGCCCUUUUGUUGGGAAAGAAAGGCAGCAGGUUAAUACCGCGCUGUUCUGACGGUACCCAAAGAAAAAGCACCGGCUAACUUCGUG
rnacentral:rRNA from 1 species